AGCAAGUUCUGGCCAAGCGCUCACCAUUCUGCAGAAUAAGGAUCAGAACUUUACAGAGAUAAACUGUGUCUGUUCUUUUUACUAUUACAGCAGUUCAUCGUGGCCCUGUGGUUCGCCUCCUUCACCAAAGCUCUGUCAGGGACCUACAUGAAGAGUGCCAUCACUCAGAGAGACACUUUGACCUUUCCAGCUCUCUCAUCGGACUCAUAGACGGCAGCUUUGAGAUGGGUAACCUGCUGUUCCUGGCUGUGGUCAGCCAUUUUGGGGCGAAGCUGCACCGGCCCAGGCUCAUUGCUAUGGGCUGUUUCCUCAUGACUGUAGGAUCCUUCCUCACAACUGAAAUACUGGUUAAACUUGUGCUUGUAGAGAUACUCCAAUGCAGAGGAUAGUUUCACUUUAGAAAUAAAGAAAUGUAUCCAGUUGUUGAUUAAUCUCAGUUAAUUUAGAACUAAAGUCUUGCGUAAUUGGUCAGCUGCUUGAUUAUGUUUUGGGGCCAUACAUAUUAAGAGAAGGGAUUAAGAGAUGCUAUAACUGUGACGUGGUAAGGUUGGACCCAGGUGCAGAGAAGAGACCAGAAGAUGAAGCAGUGGUUCCAACCAGUGUCUCCACCCCUCAAGGGCCCACUUAACUGCCAAGAACUCCCGGUUGCCUACAUCGUAGUUGCCUUCCGCUGGUGAGAACCACUUGGAGAGAAAGGAGCAUGGGUGCAGUUUCUUGUCCUCCUCGUUCCACUGUGAAAGGACCGCACCAGCUCUGGUGUCCUAGG